rnacentral:rRNA from 1 species
GAUGAACGCUGGCGGCGUGCCUAAUACAUGCAAGUCGAGCGAACGGACGAGAAGCUUGCUUCUCUGAUGUUAGCGGCGGACGGGUGAGUAACACGUGGAUAACCUACCUAUAAGACUGGGAUAACUUCGGGAAACCGGAGCUAAUACCGGAUAAUAUUUUGAACCGCAUGGUUCAAAAGUGAAAGACGGUCUUGCUGUCACUUAUAGAUGGAUCCGCGCUGCAUUAGCUAGUUGGUAAGGUAACGGCUUACCAAGGCAACGAUGCAUAGCCGACCUGAGAGGGUGAUCGGCCACCCUGGAACUGGGACAGGGUCCAGGCCCCUAGGGGGGGCCGGAGUAGGGAAUCUUCCGCAAGGGGCGAAAGCCUGACGGAGCAACGCCGGGGGAGUGAUGAAGGUCUGCGGAUCGUAAAACUUUUUUAUUAGGGAAGAAAAAUUUUGAAAGAAACUGUCCACAUUUGGACGGUACCAAAUCAAAAAGCCGCGGCCAACUACGU